rnacentral:rRNA from 1 species
UACGGAGGGUGCGAGCGUUGUCCGGAAUCACUGGGCGUAAAGGGCGCGCAGGCGGCUCGACAAGUCAGAUGUGAAAGCCCCGGGCUCAACCUGGGAACGGCAUUUGGGACUGUCGGGCUAGAGUUCGGGAGAGGUGGGUGGAAUUCCCAGUGUAGAGGUGAAAUUCGUAGAUAUUGGGAAGAACACCGGUGGCGAAGGCGGCUCACUGGACCGAGACUGACGCUGAGGCGCGAAAGCGUGGGGAGCAAACAGG